UACGAGGGGGGCAAGCGUUGUUCGGAAUUAUUGGGCGUAAAGGGUGCGUAGGCGGUUUGGUAAGUCUUAUGUGAAAUCUACAGGCUCAACUUGUAGUCUGCAUGAGAAACUGCCGGGCUUGAGUAUGGGAGAGGUGAGUGGAAUUCCUGGUGUAGCGGUGAAAUGCGUAGAUAUCAGGAGGAACACCUGUGGCGAAAGCGGCUCACUGGACCAUAACUGACGCUGAUGCACGAAAGUCAGGGGAGCAAACGGG
rnacentral:rRNA from 1 species